GAGGCUGUAGCUCAAUGGUGGAGCGUCUGACUGUGGAUUAGAAGGGUGCGGGUUCGACCCCCGUCAGCCUCC
rnacentral:tRNA from 1 species